rnacentral:rRNA from 1 species
AACGAACGCUGGCGGCAUGCCUAACACAUGCAAGUCGAACGAUGUCUUUCGGGGCAUAGUGGCGCACGGGUGCGUAACGCGUGGGAAUCUGCCCCUGGGUUCGGAUUAACAGUUGGAAACGACGGCUAAGCCCGGAGGAUGUCGAUAGGACCAAAGAUUUAUCGCCCGAGGAUGAGCCCGCGUAGGAUUAGCUAGUUGGUGUGGUAAGAGCGCACCAAGGCGACGAUCCUUAGCUGGUCUGAGAGGAUGAUCAGCCACACUGGGACUGAGACACGGCCCAGACUCCUACGGGAGGCAGCAGUGGGGAAUAUUGGACAAUGGGCGCAAGCCUGAUCCAGCAAUGCCGCGUGAGUGAUGAAGGCCUUAGGGUUGUAAAGCUCUUUUACCCGGGAUGAUAAUGACAGUACCGGGAGAAUAAGCUCCGGCUAACUCCGUGCCAGCAGCCGCGGUAA